rnacentral:rRNA from 1 species
AUGGCGGUGCCUCUGCUGAAGAAGGCGAUCGUGAAGAAGAGGGUGAAGCACUUCAAGAGGGCGCACAGCGACCGCUACAUCGGCCUCAAGCAAAGCUGGCGUAGGCCAAAGGGUAUCGACUCCCGUGUCAGGCGGAAGUUCAAGGGAUGCACCUUGAUGCCCAACAUCGGGUACGGUUCAGACAAGAAGACAAGGCACUACCUGCCCAACAAGUUCAAGAAGUUCGUUGUCCACAAUGUCUCUGAGCUGGAGCUGCUCAUGAUGCACAACAGGUAUGCAUUUCAAAACUACUCAUCAAGCUUGAUUGCUUAUGAGGAGAGCUGCAGCUAUCAUCUUCCAUGUCUAGUGCUCGAUCUUGCAGCGCUUGCUAAUGACUAUCAUCUUUCUGCAAACAGGACCUACUGUGCCGAGAUCGCACACAACGUGUCCACCCAGAAGCGCAAGGCGAUCGUGGAGCGUGCUGCGCAGCUCGACGUCGUGGUCACCAACAAGCUUGCUAGGCUCCGCAGCCAGGAGGACGAGUAA